GUACGUAGUGGGCUAGCGUUGACCGGAAUGAUUGGACGUAAAGGGCGCGUAGGCGGCGCGGUAAGUCUGGAGUGAAAGUCCUGCUUUCAAGGGGGGAAUUGCUUUGGAUACUGCCGCGCUUGAGGGCAGGAGAGGUUAUCGGAAUUCCCGGUGUAGCGGUGAAAUGCGUAGAGAUCGGGAGGAACACCAGUGGCGAAGGCGGGUAACUGGACUGCAACUGACGCUGAGGCGCGAAAGUGUGAGGAGCAAACAGGAUUAGAUACCCUGGUAGUCCACACUGUAAACGAUGAAUGCUAGGUGUAAGAGGUAUCGACCCCUUUUGUGCCGGAGUAAACACAAUAAGCAUUCCGCCUGGGGAGUACGGCCGCAAGGUUGAAACUCAAAUGAAUUGACGGGG
rnacentral:rRNA from 1 species